rnacentral:tmRNA from 1 species
GGGGAUGUCGGGUUUCGACAGGUGGGUUGAUUGAAGAAUUGCAAGCCGAGGUGUCGGUAUGCACUCUCGUUAAACAACCGACAAAAAAAUAGCUGCCAAAACAGCAAAACCAGCUUACGCUCUCGCUGCCUAAGAAUCAGUGAAGCGUCGUCCUCCUGACCUGCACCUGUGGGGUCAGGUAAGGGCGCAAGAAACACAGGUUGCAGUGACGGCCACGCCCUCUCACCGUCACUAAAGACCAGAGGGCCAGCACAGUAGGAUCCUGUCGAUGGGAGCCUGCGGUGCAUAGCUAAAACAUCGACUAAGCUUGUAGUACAUUCUCCGAUAGGCCCACUUGGACAGGGAGUUCAACUCUCCCUCAUCUCCACCA